CUGUGGUGUGUUGAACUGGUUUAUCUGGUUGUCUCCACUUAACUUCUGUAAUGACAUCAAGACAUUUGGGCUUAUGGAAGCGUUUCCUUGAGAAUGUCGAAUUACUGCUGUAUCAUUCUCUCGGUCCUCUCUCUUAAAGGAGCCAGCUUUAACGACAACAGUCUCGCGCACAAACCCCUUCCUCCUGACGGUGGCGCUGUCAGCGGGAGGCUCGGCCCGAGGCGACUUGUUCUGGGAUGACGGCGACAGCAUCGGGAGCUUCGAGAAAGGAAGUUAUUGUUACGUCAUCUUCACUGCCGGACAGUCCCAGGUUGUGAGUGAGCCCCUCCGACUAAAUGGAGACCUGGAUGGUCUCGUAUUGAGAAGAAUGCAAGUGUUUGGGGUGUCCUCGCCGCCCCAAUACGUGGUAGCCAAUGGGGAGAAAGUGAGGGAUUUUACGUAUAAUGAUGACACAAAGGUUCUAAAUGUGAGCAGCUUGGCCUUGCCCAUGUCAAAGAUGUUUACAGUUCAGUGGGCACUUUGAUGUACUGAUUUCGAUUUGCCAUGAUGCCACUGCAGAGGUAUCGUCACAGCAACUUUCCACUUUUACACUGGAUCUAAAUAUCGGCUACUUUUUCCCUUGAUAUGUAAAUAUUAAAUUUUUUUUUU